UACGGGGGGGGCAAGCGUUGUUCGGAAUUACUGGGCGUAAAGGGUUCGUAGGGGGCCUACUAAGUCAUACGUGAAAUCCCUCGGCUUAACCGGGGAACUGCGUCUGAUACUGGAUGGCUUGAGUUUGGGAGAGGGAUGCGGAAUUCCAGGUGUAGCGGUGAAAUGCGUAGAUAUCUGGAGGAACACCGGUGGCGAAGGCGGCAUCCUGGACCAAUACUGACACUGAGGAGCGAAAGCCAGGGGAGCAAACGGG
rnacentral:rRNA from 1 species